UUGUCGUAAGUCCAUGACUAAAACCGCAGCAGUGGAAUUAUUAAGACGCCGUUGUGGUAUUCAAAUGGACGACAUUAGACGCCAUGAUUAACUAUUCCUCUUAAGGGCAUUGGCUAAAAGAUGCAAUCCUUAAUAAAGUUCAAAAAUCAACAACAAUAAAUA